CCUACAAGUUCAACAUUUGCACAAUAUUCAGUUCUUGUAGUACAAAUGUCUCCCUCCCCGCACGCCAUCCUCGGCACCCCUCACUCGCGCCACGGCCGCAGCUUCACUCCCGUGCGCCACCCUCGGCUGUCGCGCCAUGGCCUGCGCUCAGCGGCUGCGGGUGGAGCCGCUGGGUCGAGGAACUUUGCCUCGACAGUACAACAGCACACUCUGUUGUAGGUCGCGAUAAGAACUGCGCACAGGCCACCCCGUGUCCGCCCUCGAUCCGUCUUAGUCAUCUCCCUCUCAUCCUCUCUCUAUCUCUGGUCUGCGUUUGUGUGUGCAGGGAGUGGGAGGAGAUAGAGCAGGGGAGUGGGAGGCCCUUCCAUGGCAAAUCCGUCGGCAUCUUCCAUGGAUUGCGACCUCUCUUGAUUUUUGCUUGAUGAUUUCUCCUCUGGAUCUGUAGACUGUAGUUCCUGCAUAGCGGUGUCCUUUUUUCUAGUGUUCCACUUUCGAUGUUGAUGCAUGUGUUUAAUAACCCCACUGAUACGAAUUCUGAAAACAAGCUUCAGUACAAGAAAAAUCGGUCCUUCAGUUCAAUUCUGAAUUAUAAGUGUGUAAACACAUCCUGCUUAGACAGUAACUAAUUAACUAUGAUAACCAUGUUCAGACUUCUACAAAUCCCAAAACUAUGCAGAGUUAGGAUUGUUACUACCUUGUUUCUUACUAUUGAUUCAAUUUUUAUGAGAAGGUAUUAAUAUGGUACAUGUAGUUGGACAUCUCAAUGUAAUGUAAUGUGUUUUUUUGCAUAUUACCUUGAAAUUAUGUUAGCAAUUCUGAAUUGCGAUUGUGCUUGAAACUGAAAAUAAUUCUGUAACUUCUCAAACCUCGUGGACUUGAUGCUUAAAAUACUUCCAGAACGAAUUGAUUCUUGUUUCUUUCAUGAUCAGUUCAGCAAAAAAAAAGUUCAGUCCAAUUUCAAAUUCUCAUUUGAGUUUAGUCAAAGUUUCUCAUUUUAGUUGAGUACAAUAUCCAAGUUUAUUUCAGUUCAAUUCUUAUUUUAGUUUUAGUUCAUUUCAAUUCUUAUUUUAGUCAAUCUGUAGUCUAUGGAUUUUAUUUGGCCUAGAUUGCUAGAUGUACUAACUUGUUGUGCCAAGGCAAUCUAAAACAUUAAGUGUUGCUACUGUAAUUUGUUCAUUGUUUCACGCCUUCCCGUAGAUGCACGCCGCCCUGAGACGCGCGCCCACCGCCUCCCCGUCGAUGUGCGCCGCCAUGCCUUCCUACAGACGCGCGCCGCUCCGCUGCCUCAGCGACCAUAUCGUUCAAACUCAGCCACCUAGGCCGUUCAGUUGGCGGCGUUCCUACAGCUGCAGAUGUGGUGCUGACAGUAGUAGGCGCUGGUUGUGUUGGAUAAAAUGCCUAGGAGCUCCCAUGAUUUAUACAUGGAACCUAGAUGAUUCCGUUUCUUCAUUCCCCCAAGUGCUUCAAUGCUGGCUCCUUCUUGGCUGGCUCGAUCGCUGCUGGGUUAGGUGGGCGUAGGUGUGGGUUUACAUGGAAGCUGGCACCGCUCUUGUGUUAUUUUCUCUAGCGAUUGAGAAAUUGAUACACUCUUUUUAAUGCGUAAUUUUAUCUGCUCACAACCUGUUUGUAUUAAAAGCCAAAUAGCUUGAGAAUAGAAACCUGUUCGAGCUUAGCUGAGAGGAUUUUGAAUCGUUGUGUGAGGAAGUGUGGACAUGGCCUUGAGAUAAUGCAUGCUGCUUUAUUCAUAAAGAGAUGGUGCCGUUGAUUUUAUUCAAAGGAAACUGAACCAAAACAGUGCUUGCUACUAGUGUUUGGAAAUUAUAAUUACUAGAACUCUUAUUUCUUACCCUUUUAAUUGUUGGCUAAUUCUUGUAAAAAGUAGUGGUUAAUCUUGCUAAUUACUUUGAUGUGAUGCCUAGGUGGUCAGUCCAGCUCCUGCAACCAACACAGGUCGUUACCCCCUUUGCCACAAUGGCAGGAGCACAAAUACCAGUGUGGCCGUCCUCAACCAGUUCCUUCACGCAGCCUCCGCGCAAGCCCUGCUCAUGUAUGCUUACACCAAAAGUACAACUCUUGUUACUCUCCUCGUACUUGCUCUUGCUUAUUUUCUAAUCAAUAAUUCCUAUUGCUUCCUCUUGGGGAAAGGGAUCCCAUGUUGAAUCUGUCUUGGUGCUCACCCGCUGUUUAUAUUCAUCACCAUAGUGUACGAAACAUAUGAAAACCAUUCUGGCUUCGGGAGAAAAUAUAACCAGUACAUGUGCAAUUGCGUGAGAAGUUCCCUUACGAAAGUUCCUUGUAAACAAACCACAUGAAAGUUCGUCAAGAAAAACUUUGUAAGUUCAAAAUGGCUAUAGGAAAACUUCGUAGGUUCAGAUGGGUAUAGAAAACUUUGUAAGUUCAAAAUGGGCACGCCUAAUAGUGCAUGAAUAAAAAAUUUAAACCCAACAAAGUCCAUGUUGGUCGGUCUACAGUGUGUUGUCAAGAAGGUUGUUGGCCUUGGAGGCCGACACUGGCUGAUCAUCUACCUUCCAAUUAUAUUAGGCAUAUACCACUGAAACUGCAGGUCGCGGCCUCCUCCCACCUAGGUGGUGCCCUCCUCCCGCAUAGCCUAUUAGUUGGCGUACCGUGACCCCUCCUCAUAUUUUUGAUUAUACACUAUACACAUGAUACUUUUACUGGGACCAGAGUAUUACUUCCAGG